UUUAUUAAAAACAUGGCCUUUUGAGAUUAAUUUAAGGUUUGACCUGCCCAAUGAUAAAAGGUUAUUUAAUGGCCGCAGUAUUUUGACUGUGCAAAGGUAGCAUAAUCAUUAGUUUUUUAAUUGAAAGCUUGUAUGAAAGGUUUGAUGAGAAAAUGACUGUCUCUAUUUAAAUUUAUUAAAAUUUUAUUUUUAAGUAAGAAAGCUUAAAUAUUUAUUGAAGACGAGAAGACCCUAUAGAGUUUUAUAUUGUUUUAAAUUAAUAAAUUUUUAGGAUUAAAAUUUUAUUUUAAAAUAGUAUUUGAUUGGGGUGAUUAAAAAAUUAAUUUAACUUUUUUUAAAAAAAAUCAUAGAUUUAUGAAUAAAUGAUCCUUAUAUUAAGAUUAAAAGAAUAAAUUACCUUAGGGAUAACAGCGUAAUAUUUUUUUAGAGUUCAAAUUAAAAAAAAAGUUUGCGACCUCGAUGUUGGAUUAAAAGAAAUUAUUGGUGUAGAAGCUAAUAAGGAGGGUCUGUUCGACCUUUAUAAUUUUACAUGAUCUGAGUUUAAACCGGCGUGAGCCAGGU
rnacentral:rRNA from 1 species